ACGAACGCUGGCGGCGUGCUUAACACAUGCAAGUCGAACGGUGAAGCGAGUGCUUGCACUCGUGGAUCAGUGGCGAACGGGUGAGUAACACGUGAGUAACCUGCCCAUCACUCUGGGAUAAGCACUGGAAACGGUGUCUAAUACUGGAUACGACCAACCCUUGCAUGGGGUGUUGGUGGAAAGAUUUAUCGGUGAUGGAUGGACUCGCGGCCUAUCAGCUUGUUGGCGGGGUAAUGGCCCACCAAGGCGACGACGGGUAGCCGGCCUGAGAGGGUGACCGGCCACACUGGGACUGAGACACGGCCCAGACUCCUACGGGAGGCAGCAGUGGGGAAUAUUGCACAAUGGGCGAAAGCCUGAUGCAGCGACGCCGCGUGAGGGAUGACGGUCUUCGGGUUGUAAACCUCUUUCAGCAGGGAAGAAGCGAAAGUGACGGUACCUGCAGAAGAAGCACCGGCUAACUACGUG
rnacentral:rRNA from 1 species